UACGUAGGUGGCAAGCGUUGUCCGGAAUUAUUGGGCGUAAAGCGCGCGCAGGCGGUCCUUUAAGUCUGAUGUGAAAUCCCUCGGCUUAACCGGGGAACUGCGUCUGAUACUGGAUGGCUUGAGUUUGGGAGAGGGACGCGGAAUUCCAGGUGUAGCGGUGAAAUGCGCAGAUAUCAGGAGGAACACCGGUGGCGAAGGCGGGUCUCUGGGCCGAUACUGACGCUGAGGAGCGAAAGCGUGGGGAGCGAACAGG
rnacentral:rRNA from 1 species